rnacentral:ncRNA from 2 species
GACAGCGGCCUGCUUGGGGGACAUACUUCUUUAUAUGCCCAUAUGAACACGAGCAACUAUGGAAUGUAAAGAAGUAUGUAUCCCAGGUUGGGAGAAAUGAC